rnacentral:tRNA from 1 species
GCCUCUGUAGCUCAGCUGGCCAGAGCGCCUGACUUGUAAUCAGGCGGUCGGGGGUUCGAAUCCCCCCGGAGGCU